UACGUAGGGUGCGAGCGUUGUCCGGAAUUAUUGGGCGUAAAGAGCUCGUAGGCGGUCUGUCGCGUCUGCUGUGAAAACCCGAGGCUCAACCUCGGGCCUGCAGUGGGUACGGGCAGACUAGAGUGCGGUAGGGGAGAUUGGAAUUCCUGGUGUAGCGGUGGAAUGCGCAGAUAUCAGGAGGAACACCGAUGGCGAAGGCAGAUCUCUGGGCCACUACUGACGCUGAGAAGCGAAAGCAUGGGGAGCGAACAGG
rnacentral:rRNA from 1 species